GCGAGUUCUAAACUCCCAACCCUCGUGGACAAACCUACCGUUGCUUCGGCGGGGCGCCCUGAUUCGGGGCGCGGCCCCCUCGGGGCACCCGCCGGCGGCACGCAAACCAAACUCUGUCUUCUGGUGAAUUCUGAGUAAAUAACAAAUAAGUCA
rnacentral:misc_RNA from 1 species